UACGUAGGGAGCAAGCGUUGUCCGGAAUCAUUGGGCGUAAAGCGCGCGUAGGCGGCCCUGUAAGUCCGCUGUGAAAGUCAAAGGCUCAACCUUUGAAAGCCGGUGGAUACUGCAGGGCUAGAGUCCGGAAGAGGCGAGUGGAAUUCCUGGUGUAGCGGUGGAAUGCGCAGAUAUCAGGAAGAACACCCGUGGCGAAGGCGGCUCUCUGGGCCAGUACUGACACUGAGGAGCGAAAGCGUGGGAGCGAACAGG
rnacentral:rRNA from 1 species